UGGGGAAUAUUGGACAAUGGGCGCAAGCCUGAUCCAGCCAUGCCGCGUGAGUGAUGAAGGCCCUAGGGUUGUAAAGCUCUUUCACCCACGAGGAUACUGACGGUAGAGGGAGGAGAAGCCCCGGCUAACUUCGUGCCAGCAGCCGCGGUAAUACGAAGGGGGCUAGCGUUGUUCGGAAUCACUGGGCGUAAAGCGCACGUAGGCGGACUGAUCAGUCAGGGGUGAAAUCCCGGGGCUUAACCCCGGAACUGCCUUUGAUACUGUCAGUCUUGAGGCCGAGAGAGGUGAGUGGAACUCCGAGUGUAGAGGUGAAAUUCGUAGAUAUUCGGAAGAACACCAGUGGCGAAGGCGGCUCACUGGCUCGGUACUGACGCUGAGGUGCGAAAGCGUGGGGAGCAA
rnacentral:rRNA from 1 species